GGCCACCAGUGCAGAUGAAAACUAUGUACCAAGGAGUAGUCCAAGGAGCAUGCACCUCUUUUGUCUGCCCAUCUAAACUAAAUGUAUGGCCUUCUUCUUGUAAUGAACCACAAGGAUUGGAUAUCACUAAUUCUAUCCCUGCCAUCUGCCAAUGGCUGCUAGAAAAACUGGCCUUUUAAAACAGCUAAAUUUUGUUCCAAUAUGAAAUCUCAGGUAGUAUAAGACUAGUAUAUCAUUUGUUCCCAUUGAAAAACACCCAUAACAUGAAUCUGAGUAAGAGUUUUACUAAGAAGUCCCACAAUUGGAGAUACUUGGAACUCUACAUUUAUCUAUGAAUUUCAAGAGAUGAAUUCCC